CCCGGGAAGAGAGAGACUCCCUUCCUCAUGCCUUCUUUCGCUCCCACCCCCUGGACGCCACUUCUUACAAAGCCCAGAAGGAGCUCUGUGAGGGUCCGUUUGAAAGCCUUCUGCCUCAGGGAUGGUCCGGCAUUCAUCUAUAUCUGGAAGAGCCACGGAAGAGGGAAAGCCUUAGUGUCUUCUUGGCCUUGGUAUGCAUGGUGCAUAUAUAAGCAGAGCUUUGUAUCAGAGCAGCAGGAAGGGCCCCAGAACACUCUUCACCAGCACCUGCUCCCAACCACCAAGGACAGUCCGUGGCUCGUGGCAGGGAAGGAUGUGCCACGGCCUCAUACCUAAACACUGUCCUGAUGAGCGAUCCAAAUCAAAGCCAUUCGUGCACUGUUGCUGCAGGAAAGGGGGAAAAGAAAGAGGUACCCCAACAUCUGCCCCACCGUCCAUCAUCAGAUUCAAAUGGGAUCACAACUGUCAAACCAACUUCACAAAAUCUUAUAUAAAUGCAGGAGGCUUCACCUGCUAGAUGGGACUUCCUGGCUCCCAUGAAGCUGUUUCCUCACUGCCUGCCAGUAACACUCAGGAGGAGCACGUGAUGAGUUUUACGGUUGACCUGCUGACCUAUGGAUGUGAACCCUGGCCAGCCCAUCUGGAAGUGCUCUGAGGAUUGUUCUGUUCUAAAAUGCCAAACCUAAAGCUGCAUUUGAAGUUGGUUUGGAGUGAGAAAUUAUUGACAGCAAAAGGAUGACUAAGGUUUCAUUUCAAAUGAGACUAUUUGGAAUCUGUAAUAAAACAAUAGUCUUGAAACACAGGCUUUGCUGGCGAAAGUUUUUCUAAGGUCAGAAGGUAGAGAAGAUUUAUGAUCUAUCAGAGCAACUUUUCUGUGCCCAGGAAAAUAAAUUUGGGGCAAAGUCAGGAACUAAAGAGGAUCAGGGAGGGUGAAAGUAGGGUAAUUAAAGUUCUCUAUUAAUACCAAGUUUUUUUAAUUCUGAAGAAAAUAUGGUGUAGUUUUAAGAUUGAUAAAUAUGCUAAUGAGUAUGUUUGUGUUUAAUAUCUUUUUCUGUAUUCUUUGGAUAUACUUUCCCUUAGUUCCUUGUAUUUAUAAUCACUGCUUUAAAGUCUUUGUGUUCUAAAUCCAUCAUCUAGGCCCACGCAAUCAGUUUCUAUUGAUGGCUUUUUCUCUGAAUAUGGGUCACACUUUCUUCUUUGCCUUACUAAUUUGUGGUUGAAAACUGGACAGUUAGAUAAUUUUGCAGCAACUACUGACUCUAAUAUAUUUUUCUGAUUUUUUGGUUUGAUAGGAUUCAAACAGCGAAUCUGUCUCCCCCAUGGAGGAGUGCAACUGAUGUCUCGGCUCAGUUUUUCAUUCUUGUCUUUUAGUCUGCCUUCCUAGGGGUUGCCCCUGUGUCUGCAUAGCUUAGUGGUCAGCAGAGGCUGUGCUCGAACACCUCGAGCCCAGUAGCUUCCGUCUAGUGCCGAUGAAUCUGUGCGUGGGUUGGGAAGGUCAUUCAAAGCUCGGCCAGACUCAAAUCAGCCUUGUACUUCCCACUGGGCUCUCGUGGGUCUCCACUGCGCACAUGAGGUCUCCCAGCAGUCAGGGAUGUGUGAAGAGCUUAGUUAGCCCUUCUUGGCUCUCUCGGAUCCAGGGUCUCUACAUUCAAUUUCCAGCUGAUUUGCCACUUGCGCCAUCUGCAAUUGAAAUCUCAGGCUAGCAAAGCUGAGCUUUCUCCAUUUGUUUCCUACCAAGUUCUCCACUUUUAACUGACAAAGUCCAUGGAAUUCACCCCCUUGGGCAGCAUAGCUGCUGGUUUUGGUGGUCAGCUCUGGGCUAGAAAAAUUGGGGUGGGGGUUGGGGUCCACAGUCCCAGGCAGGAAAGCCACAGACUCCCUUGGUUCUUACCUGAAGUUCUACAAGUUUUUCAAAAAUAAAUGAUUCUCAAGUUGUUGUCUGCCUUCGGUCAAUUUCCAG